GAUGAACGCUGGCGGCGUGCCUAAUACAUGCAAGUCGAGCGAACAGACGAGGAGCUUGCUCCUCUGACGUUAGCGGCGGACGGGUGAGUAACACGUGGAUAACCUACCUAUAAGACUGGGAUAACUUCGGGAAACCGGAGCUAAUACCGGAUAAUAUAUUGAACCGCAUGGUUCAAUAGUGAAAGACGGUUUUGCUGUCACUUAUAGAUGGAUCCGCGCCGCAUUAGCUAGUUGGUAAGGUAACGGCUUACCAAGGCAACGAUGCGUAGCCGACCUGAGAGGGUGAUCCGACACCAUGGAACCGGAACCAGGGCCAGACUCCCACGGGAGGCAAGAAUAGGGAAACUUUCGCAAUGGGCGAAAACCUUGCGGAGCAACGGCGGGUGGAGGAAUAAGGGCUUCAGAAUGGAAAACCCUUGUAUUAGGGAAAAAAAAAUUGUUAAGGAAACAAGGAAGUCUUGAAGGUACCUAAACAAAAAGCCAACGCUUACCAAGGG
rnacentral:rRNA from 1 species